rnacentral:rRNA from 1 species
AGGAUGACGCCAGGUCAGCAUGACCCUUGAUGCCUUGGGCUACACACGUGAUACAAUGGGUAGGACAACGGGUCGCGACGGAGUAAUCCUGAGCCAAUCCUUCAAACCUAUCCUCAGUUCGGAUUGAGGGCUGCAACUCGCCCUCAUGAAGUCGGAAUCGCUAGUAAUCGCGGGUCAGCUAUACCGCGGUGAAUACGUUCUCAAGUCUUGUACUCACCGCCCGUCAAGUCAAGGGAGCCGGGGGUGCCCGAAGUCUGCAUUUAUGUGGCCUAAGGUAAACUUGGUGACAGGGACUAAGUCGUAACAAGGCA